ACUAAGUUUCAACAACGGAUCUCUUGGCUCUCGCAUCGAUGAAGAACGCAGCGAAAUGCGAUAAGUAAUGUGAAUUGCAGAAUUCAGUGAAUCAUCGAAUCUUUGAACGCACCUUGCGCUCCUUGGUAUUCCUUAGAGCAUGCCUGUUUGAGUAUCAUGAAAU
rnacentral:rRNA from 1 species